UACGAAGGGGGCUAGCGUUGUUCGGAAUUACUGGGCGUAAAGCGCGUGUAGGCGGGUCUUUAAGUCCGGGGUGAAAUGCCAAGGCUCAACCUUGGAACUGCCUUUGAUACUGGAGACCUUGAGUCCGGGAGAGGUGAGUGGAAUUGCGAGUGUAGAGGUGAAAUUCGUAGAUAUUUGCAAGAACACCAGUGGCGAAGGCGGCUCACUGGCCCGGAACUGACGCUGAGACGCGAAAGCGUGGGGAGCAAACAGG
rnacentral:rRNA from 1 species